CAGCAGCCGCGGGAAUACGGGGGAUGCAAGUGUUAUCCGGAAUAAUUGGGCGUAAAGCGUCUGUAGGUGGUUUACCAAGUCUGUUGUUAAAAAUCAGGGCUCAACCCUGAUCCGGCAACAGAAACUAGUAGACUUGAGUACGGUAGGGGCAGAGGGAAUUCUCGGUGUAGUGGUGAAAUACGUAGAUAUCGAGAAGAACACCAAUAGCGAAAGCUCUCUGCUGGGCCGAAACUGACAUUGAGAGACGAAAGCUAGGGAAGCAAAAGGGAUUAGAGACCCGUGUAGUCCCUGUCUCUUAUAC
rnacentral:rRNA from 1 species